GACGAACCGUGCGAACGUUAUUCGGAAUCACUGGGCUUAAAGCGCGUGUAGGCGGGCCGGCACGUCGGUCGCUGAAACUCCCCCGGCUCGAACCGGGGAACGGGCGCCGAUACGACCGGCCUGGAGGGGGGUAGGGGGCGCCGGAACUUCCGGUGGAGCGGUGAAAUGCGUUGAGAUCGGAAGGAACGCCCGUGGCGAAAGCGGGCGCCUGGACCCCACCUGACGCUGAGACGCGAAAGCCAGGGGAGCGAACGGG
rnacentral:rRNA from 1 species